GUUGUAAGAAACUGAUGUGACUCCAUUUUUGAAAAUAAAUAAACAGGGGCUGGGGUUGUGGUUCAGCGGUAGAGCACAAGGCCCUGGGUUCCAUCCUCAGCACCAUAUACAAAUAAUAAAUAAAUAAAUAAUAAAGUCUAAAAAAAUUUGUAAAAGAAAAUAAAUAAAUAACAGCAGCUUCUACCUCAAGGCCUGUCCUAAGGAAGGGGGCGUGACCCUUGUCCUUGGAAAAACCCACAGAGCCUUUCUAGGCUCCCUGCUGAGUUGUUUGUCUGUAAAUAAUAAGAUCUGCUGCACCAGGUGUCCCUGACUGGGUCAGGCUAGGUGAGGACCCAUAGCAACCCCCUAGCAACCACCAAUCAGCAUGAGACAGGGAAAAUACCUGGGAUGCCAGGUGACCCCCCAGUAGUUUACAGUGAUUGGUAACAUGUUGGGAAACCAUGUCAUUUAGCAAGUACACCCCUCGAGGCUUAAACCAAUCAGUUCAAAGGAACCCCCCUCUUGUACUAGCCAAUCACCUUUACCCAUCUUGUUCCCGCCAGUGAAUGUGCUAAUCAAUGUUAAGAGUUGUUGUUUGAUUUUCCCAUGGUAUGGAUAGAGUAUCCCCACAAAACCUAUAAAAUCUCCCUGGACAAAGGACUGGGAUCACUGUGUUGGGAACCGUUGUUGUGAGUCCAGGCUUGAGCUUGCAAUAAAGACUCUUGUGUGAUUGCAUUGGAUUCGGCUCCUGGAGGUCUAUUGGGGUCCCACGAAUCUGGCAUUACAGUUGAUUUAUUUUAUUCAUUUAUAUGUGGUGCUGAGAAUCGAACUCACACAUGCCAGGCAAGUGCAUUACCGCUGAACCACAACCCCAGCCCCUGCCAUAUUUUAAUCACUCUGGUUCAACCCAUGGGCUACCACUGAACUACACCCCAAACCAUUUUGAAAAUUUAUUUUGAGACAGGUUCUUGCUGAAUUGCCCAAGCUGUCCUGAAAUUUGGGAUCCUCCUGCCUAAGCCUCCUGGGAGGGUGGGAUUACUAAAGGCAUGCACCAUCGCUCUGGGC
rnacentral:lncRNA from 1 species